rnacentral:rRNA from 1 species
UGCCUUACACAUGCAAGUCGAACGGCAGCACGGGAGCAAUCCUGGUGGCGAGUGGCGAACGGGUGAGUAAUAUAUCGGAACGUGCCCAGUCGUGGGGGAUAACGUAGCGAAAGCUACGCUAAUACCGCAUACGAUCUACGGAUGAAAGCGGGGGACUCGUAAGGGCCUCGCGCGAUUGGAGCGGCCGAUAUCAGAUUAGGUUGUUGGUGAGGUAAAAGCUCACCAAGCCUGCGAUCUGUAGCUGGUCUGAGAGGACGACCAGCCACACUGGAACUGAGACACGGUCCAGACUCCUACGGGAGGCAGCAGUGGGGAAUUUUGGACAAUGGACGCAAGUCUGAUCCAGCAAUGCCGCGUGCAGGACGAAGGCCUUCGGGUUGUAAACUGCUUUUGUACGGAACGAAAAGGUCUGCUUUAAUACAGUGGGCUCAUGACGGUACCGUAAGAAUAAGCACCGGCUAACUACGUGCCAGCAGCCGCGGUAAUACGUAGGGUGCGAGCGUUAAUCGGAAUUACUGGGCGUAAAGCGUGCGCAGGCGGUUAUAUAAGUCAGAUGUGAAAUCCCCGGGCUCAACCUGGGACCUGCAUUUGAGACUGUAUAGCUAGAGUACGGUAGAGGGGGAUGGAAUUCCGCGUGUAGCAGUGAAAUGCGUAGAUAUGCGGAGGAACACCGAUGGCGAAGGCAAUCCCCUGGACCUGUACUGACGCUCAUGCGCGAAAGCGUGGGGAGCAAACAGGAUUAGAUACCCUGGUAGUCCACGCCCUAA